rnacentral:tRNA from 2 species
GGAGAGUUGUCCGAGCUGGCCGAAGGAGCACGAUUGGAAAUCGUGUAGGUGAGUAACAUCGCCUCAAGGGUUCGAAUCCCUUACUCUCCG